rnacentral:tRNA from 1 species
GGUUCCAUAGUGUAGUGGUUAACACAUCUGCUUUACACACAGAAGGUCCUGGGUUCGUGCCCCAGUGGAGCCA